AAUGAACGCUGGCGGCAUGCCUAACACAUGCAAGUCGAACGAAGGCUUCGGCCUUAGUGGCGCACGGGUGCGUAACGCGUGGGAAUCUGCCCUUGGGUUCGGAAUAACAGUUAGAAAUGACUGCUAAUACCGGAUGAUGUCGUAAGACCAAAGAUUUAUCGCCCAAGGAUGAGCCCGCGUAGGAUUAGCUAGUUGGUGGGGUAAAGGCCUACCAAGGCGACGAUCCUUAGCUGGUCUGAGAGGAUGAUCAGCCACACUGGGACGGAGACACGGCCCAGACUCCUACGGGAGGCAGCAGUGGGGAAUAUAGGAAAAUGGCGGAAAGCCUGAUCCAGCAAGGCCGCGUGAGUGAUGAAGGCCUUAGGGUUGUAAAGCUCUUUUACCCGGGAUGAUAAUGACAGUACCGGGAGAAUAAGCUCCGGCUAACUUCGUG
rnacentral:rRNA from 1 species